UGGGGAAUCUUGCGCAAUGCGCGAAAGCGUGACGCAGCAACGCCGCGUGGGGGAAGACGGCCUUCGGGUUGUAAACCCCUUUCAGGAGGGACGCGGUACCUCCAGAAGAAGCCCCGGCUAACUACGUGCCAGCAGCCGCGGUAAUACGUAGGGGGCUAGCGUUGUCCGGAAUCAUUGGGCGUAAAGCGCGCGUAGGCGGCCCGGUAAGUCCGCUCUGAAAGUCCAGGGCUCAACCCUGGAAAGCGGGUGGAUACUGUCGGGCUAGAAUUCGGAAGAGGCGAGUGGAAUUCCUGGUGUAGCGGUGGAAUGCGCAGAUAUCAGGAGGAACACCAAUAGCGAAGGCAGCUCGCUGGGACGAUAUUGACGUUAAGGCGCGAAAGCGUGGGGAGCAAACAGGAUUAGAUACCCGAGUAGU
rnacentral:rRNA from 1 species